rnacentral:rRNA from 1 species
AUUGAACGCUGGCGGCGUGCUUAACACAUGCAAGUCGAUCGGUAACGCGGGGGCAACCCUGGCGACGAGAGGCGGACGGGUGAGGAACGCUUGGGAAUCUGCCUAUCAGCGGGGGACAACACGGGGAAACUCGUGCUAAUACCGCAUACGCUCUACGGAGGAAAGCCGGGGACCGCAAGGCCUGGCACUGAUAGAUGAGCCCAAGCCGGAUUAGCUAGUUGGCGGGGUAACGGCCCACCAAGGCGACGAUCCGUAGCUGGUCUGAGAGGACGAUCGGCGACACUGGGACUGAGACACGGCCCAGACUCCUACGGGAGUCCGCAGUGGGGAAUCUUGGACAAUGGGCGGAAGCCUAAUCCAGCAAUGCCGCGUGCGUGAAGAAGGCCUUCGGGUUGUAAAGCGCUUUUGUCUGGGAGCAAAUCCUGGCCUCUAAUACAGGUCGGGGAUGAGAGUACCAGAAGAAUAAGGACCGGCUAACUACGUGCCAGCCGCCGCCGUAACAC